rnacentral:rRNA from 1 species
UGGGGAAUAUUGGACAAUGGGGGCAACCCUGAUCCAGCAAUGCCGCGUGUGUGAAGAAGGUCUUCGGAUUGUAAAGCACUUUCGACGGGGACGAUGAUGACGGUACCCGUAGAAGAAGCCCCGGCUAACUUCGUGCCGGCAGCCGCGGUAAUACGAAGGGGGCUAGCGUUGCUCGGAAUGACUGGGCGUAAAGGGCGUGUAGGCGGUUUACACAGUCAGAUGUGAAAUCCCCGGGCUUAACCUGGGAGCUGCAUUUGAUACGUGUAGACUAGAGUGUGAGAGAGGGUUUGUGGAAUUCCCAGUGUAGAGGUGAAAUUCGUAGA